rnacentral:rRNA from 1 species
AGUGAACGCUGGCGGUAGGCCUAACACAUGCAAGUCGAACGGCAGCACAGAGGAGCUUGCUCCUUGGGUGGCGAGUGGCGGACGGGUGAGGAAUACAUCGGAAUCUACUCUGUCGUGGGGGAUAACGUAGGGAAACUUACGCUAAUACCGCAUACGACCUACGGGUGAAAGCAGGGGAUCUUCGGACCUUGCGCGAUUGAAUGAGCCGAUGUCGGAUUAGCUAGUUGGCGGGGUAAAGGCCCACCAAGGCGACGAUCCGUAGCUGGUCUGAGAGGAUGAUCAGCCACACUGGAACUGAGACACGGUCCAGACUCCUACGGGAGGCAGCAGUGGGGAAUAUCGGACAAUGGGCGCAAGCCUGAUCCAGCCAUACCGCGUGGGUGAAGAAGGCCUUCGGGUUAUAAAGCCCUUUUGUUGGGAAAGAAAUCCAUCUGGUUAAUACCCGGGUGGGAUGACGGUACCCAAAGAAUAAGCACCGGCUAACUUCGUGCCAGCCGCCGCGGUAA